ensembl:lncRNA
GGACACCUGUACCUGGAGAUCAUUGUGUUUCCUAUUGAAAAAGGAGGGGAAGCAGACAACAGGUCGUGUCUAUUCCUAGCUGAUGAAGGUUUCAAGAAAUUCCAGAAGUUAAACUCUUACCACUCUCAGCAAGAGGGAUGGAUCACAUGCUGGGAGCCUCUACAAAGAAAAAUAAGUGGUGCAAGGAUGUUUUAUGGUAGCUGUCAGUUGGUGCCUCAUUCUCUUCUCACUGCAAACAGUGUACAUUUUCCUCUCAUGACACCUUCUCUUUAAGCUUGUUGCAAGUUGUUUGUCUGAGACUUACAAAAAGACAGUUCAGAAGUUUAAAUAGUCAGAAACCAAAGUUGGCGUAAGCCAAAGUUAAAAACAACAUGCAUCCAGUUGCACACUUGGUCAUAUUUUACCAAGACAUGGCAGAUUUACUGGUAGAGUUGUGACCAUUAGUAGUUGCAUUCAGCACAUGGAAGCCCAUUUAUGAAAUUUUGAAGCAUCAGUGCUCUAAUUACAUGCAGGAACAUGAAAUGAAUUUGACAAACUAAAUUGUGCACAAGAAUGCACCUCGACUAGCAUCCUAAGAUGGAAUUCCACUGGAAUGAUAGAAACGGAACAUAAUCAUGCAUAUAUAUAUGUACUCAUAUAUGUAGAUACAUAUAUUUAAUUGCCUUUGUGAAUAAGUAUGUUUUUUUUAAUAAACAUUGAUAUUUCUCAAUAUGUUAUCUAUGGAAAGGCAGGGAAUGUAUAAAUGUGUGUAACUCCUCACAAUCAAAAGACUUUUCCUUUUCUUUAAAAACAAUUAGACAUGUCUUUCUUAAAAUAAUAUCAUUAUUCAUAUUCAGUGUAAUUCUGGAGCUCUUUCCGCAAACUGAAUGGACACGAGAGUGUGUGCAUGCACACACACAUAUAUAUAUAUAUAUACACAUAUAUCAAAAUUACAUUUUUAGGCACUAGGGUAAUAAACACUAACUUGGAC